rnacentral:rRNA from 1 species
UCUGAACGCUGGCGGCGUGGCUAAGACAUGCAAGUCGUACGGUGUAGCAAUACACAGUGGCGGACGGGUGAGUAAAGUAUCGCUAAUGUACCCCGAUGUCUGGGAUAGCCAGUCGAAAGAUUGGGUAAUACCGGAUAAGACCACAGAACCGCAUGGUUCGGUGCUCAAAGGGUCACCGCAUUGGGCGCAGGCGAUAUCGUAUCAGCUAGUUGGUGAGGAACGGCUCACCAAGGCGACGACGCGUAGCCGGGCUGAGAGGUCGGCCGGCCACAUUGGGACUGAGACACUGCCCAGACUCCUACGGGGGGNU